UGAUGACUUCACUUUUUUCCCCGUCAUAUCGACAAUGCUGAUCUCUGAAAAUAUUUUGCCAGUUAAUUCUGAUACGCCAGCCCACAAAGGCCCUGGUCUGCUUUGUUCUGAUCGAGGGAAGAUGGCGAUUGAUGUCUUUGUUUUGCAGGUUGGCAUGGUCAAGCAGUACGGGAGAGGAGGCGUCACCUUUGAGCCUCCAGGAAGAUGAGAAUAACGCCCACGGUCUUGGACAUCUUAAGGUUUGCUGACAGCUGAAUUGAAUGGAGGGUAAAUUCCGGAGUAAGAAAGGAUUGGCCUGAGGGAGCCAUGGAUGCCAGUGUGUCUGAUCGCCCUUGAUUUCAGUGUCCUGAAACAGGCACUUCUCUGGACACAGACCUGUCUCCUGCUGGCCCCAUCCUACAAGGCAUUUGUACAUUUGGCCCAAGGACCUUGCAUGAUCUGAAAAGGAGUUUUUGUUUGUUUGUUUUUUGGCUGGGGUGUGGUAUAGUGUGCACUGCUACUGGAAAUACUGAAUAGCAGAACCUCUGGCCUCUUAAUCUGUAGAAAUAAAAGUCUG